AUUGAACGCUGGCGGCAGGCCUAACACAUGCAAGUCGAACGAGUGGCGGACGGGUGAGUAAUGUCUGGGAAACUGCCUGAUGGAGGGGGAUAACUACUGGAAACGGUAGCUAAUACCGCAUACCAUCAGAUGUGCCCAUAUGGGAUUAGCUUGUUGGUGGGGUAACGGCUCACCUAGGCGACGAUCCCUAGCUGGUCUGAGAGGAUGAUCAGCCACACUGGGACUGAGACACGGUCCAGACUCCUAAGGGAGGCAGGAGUGGGGAAUAUUGGACAAUGGGCGAAAGCCUGAUCCAGCCAUGCCGCGUGUAUGAAGAAGGUCUUCGGAUUGUAAAGCACUUUAAGAGGGGAGGCGUUAACAACAGAAUAAGCACCGGCUAACUCCGUGCCAGCAGCCGCGGUAAUAC
rnacentral:rRNA from 1 species